rnacentral:sRNA from 1 species
AGUCCCGGCUUGGAACUGAACUGUGUGAGCACGGGUCCUGGAACCCGGGCCCAGAACCGGCGAGCCCAGGUCUGAGCCCAGAGCUCAGCGGUCAGCCUGGUAGGCCCUGACUCGGAAUCGAGCCGAGGCGCUGAGCUUGGAGCCGGAGAGCGGGAGAGCCGGAGAGCAGGGAGGGCGGGCCGGCUGCGCGUCCGACGAGUCGCAGAGCAGGACCGCGGAAGGCAGGGAGACGGCCGCAAGCCCAGGGCAGAGGGCAGAGGGCAGAGAGCGGCCUGGCUCGGCGGAGAGGGCGCCGCCCGGCCGGAACCGAGCUCGCCGCCCGGGACGGCGGCCCCCCGUGGGGCGCGGACCCAGGGUGGCCGUGGGUCCGCAGCGACUCCCCGGCCGACGGCGGGGGGCGUGCCCCCUCCCAGCCCAGCCUCCCCAACCCGGCCCGCCCGCCGCGUCGCGGGGGCAUGUGAGCGGGAAGCCUAGGCUGCCAGCCGCGAGGACCGCACGGAGGAGGAGCAGGAGCGCGGAGCCGCGAGCCCCGAGCCCCGAGCCCGGCGCCUGGCUGAGUAGACUGUAGCUCUCCAGAGGGUAAUGGGUCCCCAGAACCCAAGAGACCAGGAGCGUCGGAGGCUGCCUCUGGAAGCCAGGAGAAGCUGGACUUCAACCGAAAUUUGAAAGAAGUGGUGCCAGCCAUAGAGAAGCUGUUGUCCAGUGACUGGAAGGAGAGGUUUCU